UUAAACCUAUAUUUUUAGUUGUCUAAAUCUAUAUUCUGAGGUCAGGUUCUAAUGUUCUACAUUCUUGGUGCCCUUUUACCUCUCACAUUUUCUGUUCCAUAUUCUAGCAGCCCUCCAGCUCUCACACUUUAUGAUUCUACUUCCUCUGGACUAUGAACUGAUUCAGUGGAAGUAUUAGGACAACCAAGUUCAACCCUUCUCCCUUAUGAUCAAUUAGAAGGAACAGAGAGACAGCUUAUGACCACUUGGAUCUAUGUA